rnacentral:rRNA from 1 species
CCUACGGGAUGCAGCAGUGAGGAAUAUUGGUCAAUGGGCGCGAGCCUGAACCAGCCAAGUCGCGUGAGUGAAGACGGUCCUAUGGAUUGUAAACCUCUUUUGUCGGGGAGCAAAAGACGCCACGCGUGGCGUUCCGAGAGUACCCGAAGAAAAAGCAUCGGCUAACUCCGUUCCAGCAGCCGCGGUAAUACGGAGGAUGCGAGCGUUAUCCGGAUUUAUUGGGUUUAACGGGUGCGCGGCCGGAAGAUCAACUCAGCGGUAAAAUUGAGAGGCUCAACCGCUUCGAGCCGUUGAUAUUGGUUUGCUUGAGUGAGCGAGAAGUAUGCGGAAUGCGUGGUGUAGCGGUGAAAUGCAUAGAUAUGACGAAGAACUCCGAUUGCGAAGGCAGCUUACUAAACUGCCACUGACAUUGAUGCUCGAAAGUGUGGGUAUCAAACAGGAUUAGAUACCCCUGUAGUC